AUGGAGGAUUCAGUGGCUUUGCACUAUGAAAAAUCUGGUGUAUUCACAGUUAAAAGUGCAUACAAGUUAGCAGAUUCACUUAAAAGAGAUAGCAACAGCUCGGCAUCUAGCUCUAUUAGUGAGCCUGGAAAUCGAAGUAUUUGGGACGUCAUAUGGAAGUUAAAUGUACCGGAGAAAGUAAAAAUCUUUGGAUGGAGGGUCGCCACUAAUUCCCUGGCCACCAAGCACAAUACCUUCAGACGGACAAUUACUGUUGAUAAUACCUAUGAUAUUUGCGGAGUAGAAAAGGAGGAUGAAUACCAUGCUGUUGUAUAAUGCACAAGGAGCAGGGCGUUGAGACAUGCAAUGAGAGCACAUUGGAAUCUCCCAAAGGAGCCGGAGCUCAGGUGUACUGGCCCUGACUGGUUGCAGAUGCUGCUCCUUGUCAAUGCCAAAGAAGUCAGAGAUAAAAUCAUGCUAAUUUUGUGGCGGGCAUGGAGUCUUAGAAAUAAUGUGAUUCAUGGGGAUAGGAAGGACACAGUAGCAGGAUCUGUGCAGUAUCUAUUACAGCUACAUGAUGAGAUGUUUGUGGCUGCAAGUAAUCCGGUGAUGGAUGCAGACAAAGGAAAACUGUCAUUGUCGCUGACCAAACCGUCAAUGCCACCAACCCCAGAGGACAAUCUCUGGGUCGCCCCCCCUCCGGGUAUGGUCAAGUUAAAUUUUGAUGCUGCUUUUCUAGGGGAAUCUGGAGACUCGUGGGGGGAAGCUGUGGCAAGGAACCAUAUGGGGAUGGUGCUCAUGUCCACUGGACGGCGCCUAGAUCGGUGCAGAUCAGUGGAAGAGGUGGAAAGCGCCGCGAUCUUGAUGGGACUGUCGGAGUUCGUGAAGCUAUACAGUGGACAGAUGAUUCUAGAAAUUGACUGCGCCUUUGUUGGGAGUGAGCUGCAGCCUGGGAGUCAUAGCAAGUCUGCAUGCCGUGCUAUUAUGGCAGAUGCAAGGAAGUUGCUUGCUGGUUUUGCCUCCUCGGAGAUCAGCAAUGUAAGCAGGAAUAGGAACAAAUGGCCCAUGAGCUCGCUGCCUAUGCGAGAAGUUCUGGCGAUUUCCUUAUAA
rnacentral:rRNA from 1 species